UACAGAGGUCUCAAGCGUUGUUCGGAUUCAUUGGGCGUAAAGGGUGCGUAGGUGGCGCGCUAAGUCAGGUGUGAAAUUUCGGAGCUUAACUCCGAAACUGCAUUUGAUACUGGCGUGCUUGAGGACUGGAGAGGAGACUGGAAUUCACGGUGUAGCAGUGAAAUGCGUAGAUAUCGUGAGGAAGACCAGUGGCGAAGGCGGGUCUCUGGACAGUUCCUGACACUGAGGCACGAAGGCCAGGGAGCAAACGGG
rnacentral:rRNA from 1 species